UGCUAAAUCUCUCUCCAAAACCUGCAAGGCACCGACAGGUGCCAAUUAACUUCAAAAGAUUUAUAUACAAGUAUACAAUAAAUCUUGCAGGGUAAUAAAACCGAGAUAAACUUGGAAUCACUGUUUUUUUAGGAAAAGUAACUCCGUAAACUAUAGUCUCCCAUUAUUUGUUUUUGCUUCUACUAGCUUCACUUUAUCUAGAUCCUCUAGGGCUCCCUUAAAUUUGUGCCACUUUCUCAUGGUCAAAGUCACUUUAUAAGGUGAGUAAUCUAGACAAGCUAUUAUGCUCAUAUUCAAACAUCAAAAAGAACUAAUUUGACCAAUGCACAGAAAGUCUAUAAACAGUUUAAA
rnacentral:lncRNA from 1 species